rnacentral:rRNA from 1 species
GUAGGUGGCAAGCGUUGUCCGGAAUUAUUGGGCGUAAAGCGCGCGCAGGCGGUUCUUUAAGUCUGAUGUGAAAGCCCACGGCUCAACCGUGGAGGGUCAUCGGAAACUGGAGAACUUGAGUACAGAAGAGGAAAGCGGAAUUCCACGUGUAGCGGUGAAAUGCGUAGAGAUGUGGAGGAACACCAGUGGCGAAGGCGGCUUUUCUGGUCUGUAACUGACGCUGAGGCGCGAAAGCGUGGGGAGCAAACAGGGAUUAGAUACCCUGGUAGUCCACGCCGUAAACGAUGAGUGCUAAGUGUUAGGGGGGUUUCCGCCCCCUUAGUGCUGCAGCUAACGCAUUAAGCACUCCGCCUGGGGAGUACGGCCGCAAGGCUG